AAUGAACGCUGGCGGCAGGCCUAACACAUGCAAGUCGAACGGAUCCUUCGGGAUUAGUGGCGGACGGGUGAGUAGCGCGUGGGAACAUACCCUUUGGUACGGAAUAGCCUCGGGAAACUGGGAGUAAUACCGUAUGUGGUCGAGAGACGAAAGAUUUAUCGCCAAGGGAUUGGCCCGCGUUGGAUUAGGUAGUUGGUGGGGUAAUGGCCUACCAAGCCGACGAUCCAUAGCUGGUUUGAGAGGAUGAUCAGCCACACUGGGACUGAGACACGGCCCAGACCCCUACGGGAGGCAGCAGUGGGGAAUCUUAGACAAUGGGGGAAACCCUGAUCUAGCCAUGCCGCGUGAUCGAUGAAGGCCUUAGGGUUGUAAAGAUCUUUCAGGUGGGAAGAUAAUGACUGUACCACCAGAAGAAGCCCCGGCUAACUCCGUGCCAGCCGCCGCCGCGG
rnacentral:rRNA from 1 species